UACGUAGGGUGCGAGCGUUAAUCGGAAUUACUGGGCGUAAAGCGUGCGCAGGCGGCGUGGUAAGUCGGGUGUGAAAUCUCGGAGCUUAACUCCGAAACUGCAUUCGAUACUGCCGUGCUUGAGGACUGGAGAGGAGACUGGAAUUUACGGUGUAGCGGUGAAAUGCGUAGAUAUCGUAAGGAAGACCAGUGGCGAAGGCGGGUCUCUGGACAGUUCCUGACGCUGAGGCACGAAGGCCAGGGGAGCAAACGGG
rnacentral:rRNA from 1 species